rnacentral:rRNA from 1 species
GGGCCCGCACAAGCGGUGGAGCAUGUGGUUUAAUUCGAUGAUACGCGAGGAACCUUACCAGGGCUUAAAUGUAAGUUGCAUUAGUUAGAGAUAGCUAUUUCUUCGGACCACUUACAAGGUGCUGCAUGGUUGUCGUCAGCUCGUGCCGUGAGGUGUCAGGUUAAGUCCUAUAACGAGCGCAACCCCUGUUGUUAGUUGCCAGCGAGUCAUGUCGGGAACUCUAACAAGACUGUCGGUGCAAACCGUGAGGAAGGUGGGAUGACGUCAAAUCAUCACGGCCCUUACGUCCCGGGCUACACACGUGCUACAAUGUCGGUACAGAGAGCAGCCACUACGCGAGUAGGAG